rnacentral:rRNA from 1 species
ACAUGAGCACCAACUCUCUGUGAGUUGCUGGUUUCCAAAGCUAAGCAGGGUUGUUCCUGAGUAGAACUUGAAUGAAGGACCACCUGAGAUUUCCAGGGCUAUUUGUU